rnacentral:rRNA from 1 species
CCUACGGGAGGCAGCAGUGGGGAAUAUUGCACAAUGGGGGAAACCCUGAUGCAGCAAAGCCGCGUGAGUGAAGAAGGACUUCGGUAUGUAAAGCUCUAUUAGCAGGGAAGAAGAUGACGGUACCUGAGUACGAAGCGCCGGCUAACUACGUGCCAGCAGCCGCGGUCAUACGUAGGGCGCAAGCGUUAUCCGGAUUUACUGGGGGUAAAGGGAGCGUAGACGGUGAGACAAGUCUGAAGUGAAAGCGCAGGGCUCAACCCCGGGACUGCUUUGGAAACUGCCUGACUGGAGUGCUGGAGAGGCAAGCGGAAUUCCUGGUGUAGCGGUGAAAUGCGUAGAUAUUAGGAAGAACACCAGUGGCGAAGGCGGCUUGCUGGACAGUAACUGACGUUGAGGCUCGAAAGCGUGGGGAGCAAACAGGAUUAGAUACCCGAGUAGUC